AACUUGAGAGUUUGAUCCUGGCUCAGAACGAACGCUGGCGGCAGGCUUAACACAUGCAAGUCGAGCGCCCCGCAAGGGGAGCGGCAGACGGGUGAGUAA
rnacentral:rRNA from 1 species